rnacentral:lncRNA from 1 species
AUGCACGCCGCAAUUGCUUUCCCGACUGUCUUCCUAGUUAUAGCUGUAUCCAUUCAGGAGUAUUUGCAAUGCGGCAUGUGGACUGUAAGGGCACGUACAGCUAUGGAGGAUUUUGAGAGAGAAUUUGGUAAAGGAGCCAAUAUGACGUUAACUGAAGUUGAAGAAAAAAAAGUGGCAGGCGACCACUUAAAGAAACAGCGUCUUCGCAGAGAGAGAAAAUAUAACUGGAUUUUUGAAAAUAAGACAGAUGAAGUGCGAGUAAAAGAAUUAAAAGCUAAUAUUGAGAGAAGAACAAUGUAUCCAAGGACCACUCAGGAAUUUUCUUAUGGUGCAGCCUGGGCUUUUCGAUACCUUUGCGAUUAUAUAAACCAUUUUCUUUCUACUAGUUUAACUGGCCCUCUCAAUUUAAGGCUUAUUAGUGACGAACUGGCACGAAAUACUCUCGAAGUAUUUAUUACGACAAAGUUUGGGGCGGACGAUUUCGCGAAAGUGAAAGAAUGUUUCAUUAAAAAAUAGGGAAAAUUAAGCCACGUUAUCACACACCAUUUCACCCCUUAUUUUACACGCAAACAUUUUUAUUAAAAUGAAAAUGAGCUACAAUUCCGUUGUGAAUCUAACUUUAUGUUCUUCUUUUUUUAUCCAAAAGUCUGUAACCUAUUUUUUAAUUUUACUACGUCACACUCAUGAUUCUUAAGUUUUGUCAAACUCAAUGCUUUUUUAGGUUGCCGCUGCGCCUAAAUAAAACCAUAUUAUCACUGCUACUUUUCGGCCUCUUUUAAAUUUUUCAAAGGUUCAACAUUUUUGAAAUUUGUCUUAGUCUCACUACCCCUCAACUCUUUUACACUACCCUUUAGUGCGGUUGCAGAUGUCUUUCUGUGUGCAGCUUGUGUAAUAAAGUUUGAGUGAUACAUCAUUCUCUUCGUUUUUUCGUGUAGAAUCCGAUUUUC